UACAGAGGGGGCAAGCGUUGUUCGGAAUUACUGGGCGUAAAGGGCGCGUAGGCGGCCUGUUAAGUCGAACGUGAAAUCCCCGGGCUCAACCCGGGAACUGCGUCCGAUACUGGCAGGCUUGAAUCCGGGAGAGGGAUGCGGAAUUCCAGGUGUAGCGGUGAAAUGCGUAGAUAUCUGGAGGAACACCGGUGGCGAAGGCGGGACUCUGGGCCGAUACUGACGCUGAGGAGCGAAAGCGUGGGGAGCAAACAGG
rnacentral:rRNA from 1 species